GAAUUUUAUAUAAAAUUUAUAAUUAAGAUUAUAUUUAAAUAUAUAUAUAAAAUUUUAUAUUUAAUUGGGAGGAUUGUUAAAUUUUACUAACUUUAAUUAAAAUAAACAAUAUAGAUUAAUAAAUUAAAGAAUGGUAAAUAAAUUAAAUAAAAAUUAAUUACCUUAGGGAUAACAGCAUAAUAUUUUUAAAGAGAACAUAUCGAUAAAAAUGUUUGU
rnacentral:rRNA from 1 species